GGGGGCGAUAGGCUUCGACGGAGAUUGACAAAUUAAGAGUGGCAUACCGAGGAAUACUGCUGGCCUCGUAAAAAAGCAGUAAACAAACAAACGCUAAACAAGAAUUAGCACUAGCUGCUUAGAUAGCAGCACAUUUUGGUAAGUCUUGCUUACGGACUUAUUAAAAUGUCGGUUUGUAAGCUAGCUCCUUAUUAUUUGGCUUAAGUAGUAAGGAGUGAAAUAAGUUAAGCCAAGUCUUUAAACUUUGCUUAUGGAAGUUCAAAGGAAUUUAUAAACAUAAGCUAUGUAUGUAGAAGCUCUUCAAUUUGAAUUUUCGGACGUGGGUUCGACUCCCACCGCCUCCACCA
rnacentral:tmRNA from 1 species